UGGGGAAUCUUCCGCAAUGGGCGAAAGCCUGACGGAGCAACGCCGCGUGAGUGAAGACGGCCUUCGGGUUGUAAAGCUCUGUUAUACGGGACGAAUAGUCUUAUGGUUAAUACCCAUGAGAAGUGACGGUACCGUAAGAGAAAGCCACGGCUAACUACGUGCCAGCAGCCGCGGUAAUACGUAGGUGGCAAGCGUUGUCCGGAAUUAUUGGGCGUAAAGGGCGCGCAGGCGGCUUCUUAAGUCUGUCUUAAAAGUGCGGGGCUUAACCCCGUGAUGGGAUGGAAACUGGGAAGCUCAGAGUAUCGGAGAGGAAAGCGGAAUUCCUAGUGUAGCGGUGAAAUGCGUAGAUAUUAGGAGGAACACCAGUGGCGAAAGCGGCUUUCUGGACGAAAACUGACGCUGAGGCGCGAAAGCCAGGGGAGCGAACGGGAUUAGAUACCCCGGUAGUCCUGGCCGUAAACGAUGGGUACUAGGUGUAGGAGGUAUCGACCCCUUCUGUGCCGGAGUUAACGCAAUAAGUACCCCGCCUGGGGAGUACGGCCGCAAGGUUG
rnacentral:rRNA from 1 species